rnacentral:rRNA from 1 species
CGGCGGACGGGUGAGUAACACGUGAUAACCUACCUAUAAGACUGGGAUAACUUCGGGAAACCGGAGCUAAUACCGGAUAAUAUAUUGAACCGCAUGGUUCAAUAGUGAAAGACGGUUUUGCUGUCACUUAUAGAUGGAUCCGCGCCGCAUUAGCUAGUUGGUAAGGUAACGGCUUACCAAGGCAACGAUGCGUAGCCGACCUGAGAGGGUGAUCGGCCACACUGGAACUGAGACACGGUCCAGACUCCUACGGGAGGCAGCAGGU